CCAAGAGGCACAUACCUCCCCCAUCCCACCAAAUACAGAGUACAUUUACCAUAUUAAAAUUGUCAGACUUGUUUAUAUAUGAAAUUUAGACAUGGCUAAUCUUAUUUGUGUUCAAUAUUUAUAGAUCUUUGGAGCCUAUUACCUCUACCAGAUACACUGGAAAGUAAUAUGACUGUACCCAAAUCCAAAUAAAUCUCAGCAACAUGUCUAAAUGGUAAAGGCAGUUUGCUUUUGAAAAAUUUGCAUUUUAAAUUUCUAAUUAUGGAGUCAGCUAAAGUUAUAACCAAAUGGGUGCAAUUGUCACUCAAAGUUCCUUACAUAUUAUUCAGACAGCAAAAUCUGUGUAGAUAGAAGCCAGUAAACUAGUGUUUCCCAAACUUUGCUUUAUGGAACUCAUUCCACAAGCUGUUCCAAAAGUUGCUUUGGGGAAUAAGGGUUUGGAGGUGGGGGUAGGAAGCAAAAUGGAAAUAUAGUUAACUAGGAAAUACAGUUAAUUUUCAGAAAGUUCACUUUGGGCAAUACCAUGUUAAUCCAAUUACAAUAGUUUUCUACUGCAAGACUUUUCACAUUCUGAAAUAUGAAAAUGUGCGUGAGGGUUUUCAGGACUGGAAUAGUAUGUAAUAUCUCCUAAUCUUUCUGACUGUGUGUGUGUAUGUAUGUGUGUAUAAAAUACUUGUUAAUAGUUCCAAAGAAUGUCAUUUGGAAAAUUCUGGACAUUUUGAAGAAAUUAUAUGGAGUUGAUAAGGAAAAUUUCUUCUGUUUUCCUAAGCCUCCCUUACAACUAGAUGAGACCAUGCCAUUGAAUUCUGGAUAACAGGAUGUGAGCAGCCCUCUAUGUCUUACUUCCUAUGGGCUGGAAAAGAGGGAGAGCUGAAACAGCUGCUUGGAACCGGGAGACAGCUGCCCGACGUUGACUGUAGCACGGCUGCUCUCCAGCCCUGUACCUCUCAUAUCCAGACUGUAUGUGAAAAAAAAAGGGGGGACUCAUCUAAAGUCUGUAGUCUGAAAUCUUCUGUUAUUACUUGGCUGUGCUCGAAAACAUACUAUAUGCUUAUUGGAAGGAAGCAAUGUUUUCUCCUCCUCUUCCUUCUCCUUUUUUCCCCUGCUCUUCCUCUUCAUCCUUUUCUUUAAUGACGCUACUUAAGGAUUUUCACUAUGUUUUACUGGCCUACUACUCAAAUAAUGUAAAUCAGUGCAUUUUUUUUUUCUCUACCUAAGCAAAAACAGAUGUAAAUUUCUCUUUGUAGCUUGGAUGAGGAUAGUUGAAUUAGAAUUUUAAAAGCCAUCUAAGGAUUUUUGUGUGUUUCCUAGACAAGGCUUAUGAGAUAUAGUUAUUCUUUUGUAACAGUAGGAAGAAAAAAGGAAAGUAAACCAAAACAUGGGAGGUCUAUCUUACUUUGGUUAGUGAAAACCGUUGGCAGAUUUAAUCUCUUUAUUGGGAUUAUUAUACAAGACUCAAUAACAGCCUUGGGUAUUUAUUUCUUCUGUUGUCCCCCGAACUUUUUAUUUAAUCAUAUCUAGUUUGAGAUGAAGAACCCCUGAAAAGAGGACAUUUUAUCUAUAUAUACAUUGCCAAAAAUAAAAAAUUAUACAGUGACACUAUAAAUGCUAUGCACUGUGGGGAAAG
ensembl:lncRNA